UGCGUGCAUCUAUUAAUCAUUUUGAGUCUAAUAUCAUCCCAUACACUUGAGCCGACUUGUUUUUAUGAAUAGGUUAUUUGGAGCAAAAUGUUUGAAAGGACCGAUUCGCGGAAAUGAUUCGAACGAGUGACAGCCGUCUUCUACUUCAUGGCGGCUGGCUGACUGACUGACGGCGCCUUAUAGUCAGCAGUAGUUACAAAAAAAAUAACAAAUGACCUGCACCGUAGCUGCUGCUGUUUGCACAGAUCUUUGUUCCAGGCUCAUCAGAUGAAACACAGAUAACCACAUGCUAUUCAGCAUCAAUGGAACAGGCAGCAGCUGCCUUUGCAUCGCAGGACAUGGUAUGAUGGACAGGUAUUAAGAGGGA
rnacentral:lncRNA from 1 species